GGAUUAGAUACCCUGGUAGUCCACGCCGUAAACGAUGUCUACUUGGAGGUUGUGCCCUUGAGGCGUGGCUUCCGGAGCUAACGCGUUAAGUAGACCGCCUGGGGAGUACGGCCGCAAGGUUAAAACUCAAAUGAAUUGACGGGGGCCCGCACAAGCGGUGGAGCAUGUGGUUUAAUUCGAUGCAACGCGAAGAACCUUACCUGGUCUUGACAUCCACAGAACUUUCCAGAGAUGGAUUGGUGCCUUCGGGAACUGUGAGACAGGUGCUGCAUGGCUGUCGUCAGCUCGUGUUGUGAAAUGUUGGGUUAAGUCCCGCAACGAGCGCAACCCUUAUCCUUUGUUGCCAGCGAUUAGGUCGGGAACUCAAAGGAGACUGCCAGUGAUAAACUGGAGGAAGGUGGGGAUGACGUCAAGUCAUCAUGGCCCUUACGACCAGGGCUACACACGUGCUACAAUGGCGCAUACAAAGAGAAGCGACCUCGCGAGAGCAAGCGGACCUCAUAAAGUGCGUCGUAGUCCGGAUUGGAGUCUGCAACUCGACUCCAUGAAGUCGGAAUCGCUAGUAAUCGUGGAUCAGAAUGCCACGGUGAAUACGUUCCCGGGCCUUGUACACACCGCCCGUCACACCAUGGGAGUGGGUUGCAAAAGAAGUAGGUAGCUUAACCUUCGGGAGGGCGCUUACCACUUUGUGAUUCAUGACUGGGGUGAAGUCGUAACAAGGUAACCGUAGGGGAACCUGCGGUUGGA
rnacentral:rRNA from 1 species